rnacentral:rRNA from 1 species
AGUGAACGCUGGCGGUAUGCCUAACACAUGCAAGUCGAACGGCAGCACACUAAGAGCUUGCUCUUACGGGUGGCGAGUGGCGUACGGCUGAGGAAUACAUCCGAAGCUACUUUUUCGUGGGGGAUAACGUAGGGUAACUUACGCUAAUACCGCAUACGACCUACGGGUGACAGCAGGGGAUCUUCGGACCUCGCGCGUUUGAAUGAGCCGAUGUCGGAUUAGCUAGUUGGCGGGGUAAAGGCCCACCAAGCCGACGAUCCGUAGCUGGUCUGAGAGGAUGAUCAGCCACACUGGAACUGAGACACGGUCCAGACUCCUACGGGAGGCAGCAGUGGGGAAUAUUGGACAAUGGGCGCAAGCCUGAUCCAGCCAUGCCGCGUGGGUGAAGAAGGCCUUCGGGUUGUAAAGCCCUUUUGUUGGGAAAGAAAAGCAGCAGGUUAAUACCCCGCUGUUCUGACGGUACCGAAAGAAUAAGCACCGGCUAACUUCGUG